AUCUUGCUGACGAGUGCCAAGUAGUACGAAACGCGGGUCCAGGAU
rnacentral:hammerhead_ribozyme from 1 species